GCCCGGAUGGCGGAAUUGGCAGACGCGUCGGUCUCAAACACCGAUGGGGCGACCCAUACCGGUUCGAGCCCGGUUCCGGGCA
rnacentral:tRNA from 1 species